UUAUGGAAGGGUGUUCCUUUGAAGGAUGGGAGUUCCAGGUGAAGUGAUCCCAGGCGUACAAUGACUAUCAUGGAAUUGAAAUGGAAAUCAGGAUUUUGGAACUACAUGCAAUCAAAAUACUUGACUGAGCUACGUAUAACUUGGGGAAGAGGAGACAGUUAAAGGUGUCUAAGAUCCAAGGCUCUAUUUAUCAGAGUGCUCACUGGAUGCUACACAUUGAGCUAAACAAGGUGUAUCUAUCUACCAACCCCCCCCCCCGCCCCGGGUCGACCUAAAAGAUCUAGGCCAACUCUCAGAGGAGCCCCUUGAAUGAAAUGAAGAACAUGUCCUUUUGAGGAAGGAUCCUGAACACAUCCUCAAUUCAGAAGACAACAGGAAAACUCUGGACAUGAGAAAACAUGGCAACAAAAAAUUGGAACAAGAUACCUGAAAAAAAUGUGAAUUCCCAAAACAGUGCUAUUAGCAAAUGAAACAUUAA